GGGUGCAGCAGGCGCGAAAACUUUACAAUGCUGGAAACAGCGAUAAGGGGACCUCGAGUGCCAGGUUACAAAUCUGGCUGUCGUGAUGCCUAAAAAGCAUUGCAUAGCAAGGGCCGGGCAAGACCGGUGCCAGCCGCCGCGGUAACACCGGCGGCUCGAGUGGUAACCGUUAUUAUUGGGUCUAAAGGGUCUGUAGCCGGCCGGAUAAGUCUCUUGGGAAAUCCAGCAGCUCAACUGUUGGGCUUUCAGGAGAUACUGUCUGGCUCGAGGCCGGGAGAGGUGAGAGGUACUUCAGGGGUAGGGGUGAAAUCUUGUAAUCCUUGAAGGACCACCAGUGGCGAAGGCGUCUCACCAGAACGGACCUGACGGCAAGGGACGAAAGCUAGGGGCACGAACCGGAUUAGAUACCCGGGUAGUCCUAGCCGUAAACGAUACUCGCUAGGUGUCGGCCACGGUGCGACCGUUGUCGGUGCCGUAGGGAAGCCGUGAAACGAGCCACCUGGGAAGUACGGCCGCAAGGCUGAAACUUAAAGGAAUUGGCGGGGGAGCAC
rnacentral:rRNA from 1 species